rnacentral:rRNA from 1 species
CGGGGGAGCAAGCGUUGUUCGGAUUUACUGGGCGUAAAGGGCGCGUAGGCGGUCAGCACAAGUCAGUUGUGAAAUCUCCGGGCUUAACUCGGAACGGUCAACUGAUACUGUGCGACUAGAGUGCAGAAGGGGCAACUGGAAUUCUCGGUGUAGCGGUGAAAUGCGUAGAUAUCGAGAGGAACACCUGCGGCGAAGGCGGGUUGCUGGGCUGACACUGACGCUGAGGCGCGAAAGCCAGGGGAGCGAACGGGAUUAGAUACCCCGGUAGUCCUGGCCUUAAACGAUGGAUGCUUGGUGUCUGGAGUUAUAUAGUCUCCGGGUGCCGCAGCUAACGCGUUAAGCAUCCCGCCUGGGGAGUACGGUCGCAAGACUG